UGCAACUCGAAUGCAGAGUGUCUCGAUG
rnacentral:piRNA from 1 species